AGAUGGUGUAUGAGAUCUGGUGACCCAUGAAGAAAUCUGGAUUCUGCUGAGAACUGUAUAGGCGGCCAAAUUGCAUAAAAAAACCUGAUAACCUAUGGGGAUGUUCUUGGAGUGUGGGAGUAAAACAGAGAACCCAGGGAAAGCCACAGAGGAAAUGGGAAAAAUGUUAAAGGCACAGAAUAUUGUCAUUUUUUUUUAGAACCAAUCAACUGCACCUUCCUGAUCAAUGAUGUUGCCCUAGACAUGAGCCUACUCUGCCUACUCCGUGUCCUGACCCUCU